UUUGGAUCGAUGAUGUUGCAUAUAUUACUGCGUUAUCUUUCUGAUAAUUCUUUGAGGAAAGCUUUAAGUACGCUGAGAUCCGUA